GUCUCAUAAGUUUGAGCACUACAUGGACAGUCCCUACACUAAGGCUGUAACCAGCUAAUCUGAUGCCUUUCCCAGCAAGCUGCAAAACUGAAAGCCAUCCCUUCUGCAGAGAAAAGUGGCCCUGGCCCUCAACCUGGAUGAAUUCCUGCCAGUGAGAAUUAGCCCCUUUCCAGCUUUCACAGCAGCCUCUCCCAGGACCAUAUGGACAAGAAACAAAUCCAGCUAUGAAGAGGCAAGAAUUACUGAAUAUUCUGGGUAUAAACUUCCAGGUAAAAUGAAGUUGCUGGGCUAAUGCAGGUAUAACAGAUGAAGACUGCAGCACAGCAGAUGCAGAGAAAUAAUAGCUAUGACUAGGUUAAGAGCCAUCACUUUUGUUCAGAAAAAGCCACAACUGCCCUUGUUUAUAAAUAUCACUGUACAGAAGAUAAUGCGCCUGAGAAAACACUAAUGCUGUACAGAAAUUGUAUCUCUGAACAUGUCACCAAUGUAAAACUGAGCGCAGGCUAAUGUCUUAAUUUUAAAAUGCAGACAUCUUAAUAUGCUAUGUAAAUACUGCAGAGACCUGAAGAAUACACUGUGCUCAGAAACUUGUCUAAGUCUAUCCCAGCCACACAGUUGGCUGAUAAAAGAUAUCACCUAUAAAAAUCCUUGUCUCUUCAAACUACUUAAGUUUGCUUGGUCUUCAUUAGGCCAGAAUAAGUACUUGUACAACUCUCUUUUAGUGCAAUGUCCAAAUAUUUUAUUGGUUCCUUCAUUUUUGACUCCCAUGU